UGAUGAUGAUGAUGAUGAUGAUGAUGAUGAUAAUGAUUAUGAAAACUACAUGUACAACUGCCAACCACCAUUCAGCAUCAUCAUCAUCAUCAUCAUCAUCAUCAUCAUCAUGA
rnacentral:pre_miRNA from 1 species